GUUUACGGCCAUGCUACCCUGUACAAGCCCGAUCCUGUCUGAUCUCAGAAGCUAAGCAGAGUCGGGCCUGGUUAGUAGUUGGAUGGGAGACCACCUAGAAAGAGUAAGUGCUGUAUGCG
rnacentral:rRNA from 1 species